GAAUGCGUUCAUCCUAUGCUGAAAAUACCCGAUCCCGUCUCGCUCUCGGAAGUCAAGCAGCAUGAGGCUUGGUUAGUACUGUGGUGGGGGACCACACGGGAAUACCGAGUAACGCAUUCU
rfam:Thecamonas trahens ATCC 50062 unplaced genomic scaffold supercont1.64, whole genome shotgun sequence.